UUGAGAAGAAUCAGUAAAACAGUUAUCUAGGUAGUCACUUGGAGAAAACUCAGUAAUUCAGAGGGAGCUCUAAACAAAGAGCGAGGUGGUUUGGAUUUACGACAAGACAUAUUCUCAAUAUUCUGACUGAGCUGGAGCUAUUUUACAGAAAAACUACUGUAGGGACCGAUUUCAAUUUCUUGACCUGCUGGGGGCAUACCGUAAAAACUUUCCACCGUAAUUGAUUUAUUCAUUUCAGCUUGUGGCUGUAACAUGACAAAAUGAGGCAAAGAUCUGGGGAUAUGAAUACUUUUGCAAAGCACUAUAUGGAUGUUCUGUUAAUGACCCAUUUUUAACUUUGUCAGGUCAGAGAAGAGUUUAAUGCACUUCCCCCCACCCCUCCAAAAAGCUCCAAUCUGCAAACGUCUCCUUCUGCAUACCAACACUUUGAAUCCUGUUGUCUUCAGAAAACACUCAGCAUGUAAGAAGAUUCUCAUCCAAGCAGCCAUUAAGUGCCUCUGGAGUGAUUAUUACGGUAUUGUGUGUCAGAUCCAGGAAGAACUUUUAUACCUGCCCUCUGAUUACUUCAAGGUACAAAAAUAGCAGAAGAAGGGACAAUAAUACUAAGUGGGAGGCAUGCUGGAGAUUUUAAUUGGUGGAAGGUUUAAAUUAAGUGAGAGUUUAGCCUCUUAUUCCCUCUCAUAUGUGAAAUGUUGCUUUUUAAAAGUCUCACUUUGUUAAUCUGUCAAAACUGCACUUUUAAUUAAGAGUCAACUGUCUUGCAGGACGCAGCGAAGAUAAGAGGCAAUUAAAAAUAGUGUAAUAGAAGAGCUUUUUUUAAGGUGGGGGACUACUUAAUCUUUAAUUCCUGUAAGUGUACUUAUGAAUUAAUCAUAAAGUAUUUCAGGUUAAAAAAGGAAACAGUUGAUUAAAUGUCAAUGAAUGUGCUAAUUGUUUAGGGUUAUGCAAACAGUAAAACCAUGUGUGUAUUUCACUGGACAGCUUCAAGAACUAGAUUUUUCUUUUAUAUCAGUUUCUUCCUAAUAAAUUGAUUUCUUUCCAGAGUUGGGCCAGAUUGCCUGCUUUAGAUUGAUGAGGUGCAAAGACUCCGACUCACAUUUCUCCUCCUACUGCCAACCAUUCCUCUGCAAAGGUGCUGUUACGGACAUAAAUGAGUUAUUCACAGGAACAUCAUUCGUCUCUUGUAGGUAUUGCCAAUCCGCUCUCCAACCAGGCUCUGUGAGAGCUCAGCAAUGGGCCAAUCUCUUCCUCUUUUGGACCCAAGCAAUAGAUUACUCUCCCUGUCCCUCCCUGUUGUCUUGUUAUCACUGUUCAACAGCAAUUAUGGCCACACAUCACCGGCUUGUGGACCGAACUGAAGGCUCUGGAUUUAUUUUAACAAGCACAUCCAGGAACCGUUCUCUAUCCAACGGUACAUUUCUCCCCACUCUGACUGGGACUGACUCUGCCAGAGUCCGAGAUGAUUUCUGCCUCUGGAGUUGCAGGUUUUCGGGGUCUAACGAUGAUUUCUGUCGCUUUGACAAGGAGUCGGUAUGUUCAGACAAGGUUAUGGACUUAUUUCAUGCAAGAUGACAGCUAGUUGUAAACCAAUGAACCAAAUUAAAGUCCUCCUUUUGUACGACACGGUUUCCAGUUUCAAAUCAUUGAGAAGAAAUAGGUUGAACACUCUGUUGUGUCUCAGUGAGUGCAGGAGGAGAAGGGGAGGGAAACUUUGGAGCUGAAUACUGCCUUCAUGACGCAUCUCUCCUCAGACAUAGCUGACAACCGGCUGGAAUCUUUAACGUGUUAAUAACAACAAUAAUGAUGGACUUUUUAUAUCUGACAACAUGUAAAGCAUAGUUUUGGAAUACAAUAUUUUUUGUAAGUACUGCAAAUAUUCAUUCCUGACUGUUUCUGC